AAUCAACGCUGGCGGCGUGCCUCAGACAUGCAAGUCGAACGAUUAAAGCUCCCUUCGGGGAGUGCAUAGAGUGGCGCACGGGUGAGUAACACGUAAGUAAUCUACCUUUGAGUGGGGAAUAACGUUCGGAAACGGACGCUAAUACCGCAUAAUGCAGCGGCAUCGCAAGAUGACAGUUGUUAAAGGAGCAAUCCGCUUAAAGAGGAGCUUGCGGCAGAUUAGCUUGUUGGUAAGGUAACGGCUUACCAAGGCUACGAUCUGUAUCCGGUCUAAGAGGACGGUCGGACACACUGACACUGAAUAACGGGUCAGACUCCUACGGGAGGCAGCAGUCGGGAAUUUUGGGCAAUGGGGGAAACCCUGACCCAGCAACGCCGCGUGAAGGAUGAAGUAUUUCGGUAUGUAAACUU
rnacentral:rRNA from 1 species